rnacentral:rRNA from 1 species
AGAGUUUGAUCCUGGCUCAGACUGAACGCUGGCGGUAGGCUUAACACAUGCAAGUCGAGCGGAAACGAAGAAUAGCUUGCUAUUCUGGCGUCGAGCGGCGGACGGGUGAGUAAUGCUUGGGAAUCUGCCUAGUCGAGGGGGACAACAGUUGGAAACGACUGCUAAUACCGCAUACGACCUACGGGUGAAAGGGGGCCUCUUCUUGAAAGCUCUCGCGACUAGAUGAGCCCAAGUGGGAUUAGCUUGUUGGUGAGGUAAGAGCUCACCAAGGCGACGAUCCCUAGCUGGUCUGAGAGGAUGAUCAGCCACACUGGAACUGAGACACGGUCCAGACUCCUACGGGAGGCAGCAGUGGGGAAUAUUGCACAAUGGGCGAAAGCCUGAUGCAGCCAUACCGCGUGUAUGAAGAAGGCCUUCGGGUUGUAAAGUACUUUCAGCGAGGAGGAAAGGUGGUAAAUUAAUACUUUAUCACUGUGACGUACUCGCAGAAGAAGCACCGCUAACU